rnacentral:rRNA from 1 species
AUUGAACGCUGGCGGAAUGCUUUACACAUGCAAGUCGAGCGGCAGCGCGGCCUUCGGGCUGGCGGCGAGCGGCGAACGGGUGAGUAAUGCAUCGGAACAUGCCCAGUUGUGGGGGAUAACACUUCGAAAGAAGUGCUAAUACCGCAUACGUCCUGAGGGGGAAAGCGGGGGAUCGCAAGACCUCGCGCGAUUGGAGUGGCCGAUGUCAGAUUAGCUAGUUGGUGGGGUAAAGGCCUACCAAGGCGACGAUCUGUAGCUGGUCUGAGGGGAUGAUCAGCCACACUGGGACUGAGACACGGCCCAGACUCCUACGGGAGGCAGCAGUGGGGAAUUUUGGACAAUGGGGGCAACCCUGAUCCAGCCAUUCCGCGUGAGUGAAGAAGGCCUUCGGGUUGUAAAGCUCUUUCGGCAGGAACGAAACGGUGGGCUCUAACAUAGUCCGCUAAUGACGGUACCUGAAGAAGAAGCACCGGCUAACUACGUG